rnacentral:rRNA from 1 species
GAUGAACGCUGGCGGCGUGCUUAACACAUGCAAGUCGAGCGAGUGAGUUCUUCGGAACGAUCUAGCGGCGGACGGGUGAGUAACACGUGGGCAACCUGCCUCAUAGAGGGGAAUAGCCUUCCGAAAGGAAGAUUAAUACCGCAUAACAUCGUUGAAGGGCAUCCUUCGAUGAUCAAAGGAGCAAUCCGCUAUGAGAUGGGCCCGCGGCGCAUUAGCUAGUUGGUGAGGUAACGGCUCACCAAGGCGACGAUGCGUAGCCGACCUGAGAGGGUGAGCGGCCACAUUGGGACUGAGACACGGCCCAGACUCCUACGGGAGGCGGCAGUGGGGAAUAUUGCACAAUGGGGGAAACCCUGAUGCAGCAACGCCGCGUGAGUGAUGAUGGCCUUCGGGUUGUAAAGCUCUGUCUUUGGGGACGAUAAUGACGGUACCCAAGGAGGAAGUCACGGCUAACUACGUGCCAGCCGCCGCAGUAAUAC